rnacentral:rRNA from 1 species
UCUGCCCUGUGGUUCGGGAUAACUCCGGGAAACUGGAGCUAAUACCGGAUAAGCCCAAUGACCGUGGGGGUUAUUGGGGAAAGAUUUAUUGCCAUGGGAUGAACCCGCGUCGGAUUAGGUAGUUGGUAGGGUAACGGCCUACCAAGCCGACGAUCCGUAGCUGGUCUGAGAGGAUGAUCAGCCACACUGGGACUGAGACACGGCCCAGACUCCUACGGGAGGCAGCAGUGGGGAAUAUUGGACAAUGGGCGCAAGCCUGAUCCAGCCAUGCCGCGUGAGUGAAGAAGGCCUUCGGGUUGUAAAGCUCUUUCGCCCACGACGAUAAUGACGGUAGUGGGAGAAGAAGCCCCGGCUAACUCCGUGCCAGCAGCCGCGGUAAUACGGAGGGGGCGAGCGUUG